GGGGUUGUGGCUUAGCCGUAGAGCGCUUACUUAGCAUGUGUGAGGCCCUGGGUUCAAUCCUCAGCACCACA
rnacentral:tRNA from 1 species